rnacentral:rRNA from 1 species
CGUAAAGCGCACGCAGGCGGUUUGUUAAAGUCAGAUGUGAAAUCCCCGGGCUCACCCUGGGAACUGCAUUUGAAACUGGCAAGCUUGAGUCUUGUAGAGGGGGGUAGAAUUCCAGGUGUAGCGGUGAAAUGCGUAGAGAUCUGGAGGAAUACCGGUGGCGAAGGCGGCCCCCUGGACAAAGACUGACGCUCAGGUGCGAAAGCGUGGGGAGCAAACAGGAUUAGAUACCCUGGUAGUCCACGCUGUAAACGAUGUCGACUUGGAGGUUGUUCCCUUGAGGAGUGGCUUCCGGAGCUAACGCGUUAAGUCGACCGCCUGGGGAGUACGGCCGCAAGGUUAAAACUCAAAUGAAUUGACGGGGGCCCGCACAAGCGGUGGAGCAUGUGGUUUAAUUCGAUGCAACGCGAAGAACCUUACCUACUCUUGACAUCCAGAGAACUUAG